CAAAGAUGGCGCCGCGAGGACGGAGGAAGCACGAAGCACAUGGCGCCGAUGGCGUAGUGCUCAAUGGUGCGGUGAUAAUUACUUCAUUUGACCUGCCAGCUUGUUAGAGCGGGAAUGAGUGGCAACAAACGUUUAUGGGAGCAAGGGAAGCUGCAGCUGCUAUCCUGGAAGAAAACGACGA